UGUGCCAGGCCUAUAGAAUGGGGUCCUGGUCUUUCCUGUCAGAACAUACAUUACUUACCAUUUUCCCAGGGCCUCCUCUGGCUCCUGGUCUUCAAGUCCCAUAACCGUGCUAGACCAUAGGAUGGGAUCCUGGUCUUUCCUUACUCUGUGCCAGGCCUGUAGACUGGGGCCUGGUCUUUCUUACUUUGUGCCAGGCCUGUAGCAUGGGGCCUGGUCUUCCUGUCAUGGACUAACUGGGUCAUCCGACAUUCACCCUCAACAACAACAAUUUAUGCAAUGCGGCAUAUUCGUGAAAACUAAUGCAAUCAUCCUAUUGCAUAAUCAUGAUGCAUGAAACAUGAUAAAGUAUUUAAUUUAAAAGAUUAAGU
rnacentral:lncRNA from 1 species